UACAGAGGGUGCAAGCGUUGUUCGGAAUUAUUGGGCGUAAAGCGCGUGUAGGCGGCCGUGCAAGUCGGGUGUGAAAGCCCUCGGCUCAACCGAGGAAGUGCGCCCGAAACUGCAUGGCUUGAGUACCGGAGAGGAUGGCGGAAUUCCCCAAGUAGAGGUGAAAUUCGUGAGAUAUGGGGGAGGAACACCGGUGGCGAAGGCGGCCAUCUGGACGGAUACUGACGCUGAGACGCGAAAGCGUGGGGAGCAAACAGG
rnacentral:rRNA from 1 species